rnacentral:rRNA from 1 species
GCGAGAAGUUCCUUCGGGGACGAGUACAGCGGCGGACGGGUGAGCAAUACGUAAUCAAGCUGCCCUUCAGACGGGGAUAACCACGGGAAACCGUAGCUAAUACCCGAUAUGCCGGUUGGACGCAUGGUCGACCGGGCAAACGGCGGGGACCCUUCGGGGCCUGUUGCUGAGGGAUGCGAUCACGGCCUAUCAGCUAGUUGGUGGGGUAAUGGCCUACCAAGGCGACGACGGGUAGCCGGCCUGAGAGGGUGGUCGGCCACACUGGGACUGAGACACUGCCCAGACUCCUACGGGAGGCUGCAGUCGAGAAUCUUCCGCAAUGGGCGAAAGCCUGACGGAGCGACGCCGCGUGGAGGAUGAAGGCCUUCGGGUUGUAAACUCCUGUCACGGGUUAUGAAACGGCAUGGUUUAACAGGUCAUGUCUUGACGUAAGCCCGGAAGGAAGCACCGGCUAACUCUGUGCCAGCAGCCGCGGUAAUACAGAGGGUGCGAACGUUGUUCGGAAUUACUGGGCAUAAAGCGCGCGUAGGCGGCCACGUAAGUGUCUUGUGAAAUCCCACGGCUCACCCGUGUGAAUUGUGAGGCAUACUGCGUGGCUCGAGUGUGGUAGGGGAGAGCGGAACUCCUGGUGGAGCGGUGAAAUGCGUAGAUAUCAGGAGGAACACCGGUGGCGAAGGCGGCUCUCUGGUCCACUACUGACGCUGAGGUGCGAAAGCUAGGGUAGCGAACGGGAUUAGAUACCCCGGUAGUCCUAGCCGUAAACGAUGGGCACUGACUUGAGGUCUCCCUGUGGGAUCUCAC